AAAACUCAAAAAAUGCUCCAGUCGGCCGCUCAGCAGUUCCCCGUCAGCGGAUUGAAGUGCCGACCACAUUUGAAACCCUUGGAUAUUGUUACCUCGUUGCUUCGGCGCGCCCCGCUGGCAGGACCCCUAAACUCUUGUUUAUCAGUGUCGUCUGAGUACUAUAUAAUAGUUAA
rnacentral:rRNA from 1 species